GCCAAGUUAUGAUGAUUGGUUAUUUAUCCAAUCCAUUGUUGGUUUUGCGCCGCUCAGCUCCUAUCAUUUGCAAUUUUGCAUUAUUACAAUUCCUUUGUUGCUGAGUUUAUCGGAUUGGUAUUGAUUCAUUAGUUAAUGGACUCCAUGUUCGGCGAAUGGCCUUCAUACGACCCUCACAACUUCAGCCAACUCCGCCCAUCUGAUCCUGCAAAUCCCCUCUAUUGACGCGGAUCGUACACCGGUGACGGAGAACGGUGGUGAAAUGCCGGUGUUAGUUUCGGCGAUGGAGGAGCAGACAGUGUGUGCCAUUGAGCUGUUCUUAGAGACCUCUGCAUCGCUGAGGUCAAGGAUAUGGUCAGUGGGGAGGUUAAGGAUUUGCAAGUUUCUGGGUUUUUUUUGCUACAGGCCAUGAACCGGCUACUAAGUUUUUG